AACUUAGUCAAAAUUGAAAAAAAAAAAAAAAGACACAGCCUGGAAGAAGAUAUUUGCCAUGCACAUCAUCAAUUAAGAAUUAUCAUCCAGAAUGUAUAAAAAUUUCCUACAAAUGAUAAGAUGACAAACUACCCAAUAGAAAAAUGUAUACAGAGAAAACCAAAAUGCAUGACCAAUAAUCAAGAGUGGUGCCCACCCUCGCUAGAAACCAGAGAGAUAUAAAUUAAUAUAAUAGGAAUAUGUCAUCUCAUACUCUCAUGCAUGGCAGGUGGAAGGGCAAAUUGCUGCCAACACUGUGAGACGAGGCAACAUCCUCCAAAACUGAAGACACAGACACCCCCCAAGACUCAGCAAUUCCACAUCUAGGAAUGUGCACAAGGAGACACAGGAGCUGUGUAACUUGCAGUGUAAUCAGAAAAGGGAAAACUACAGAGCAGUUACCCUUAAUGAGUUGUCUGCAGAUAUCAACCUGCAUGAAUCUCCUAGACAUCCUGGUGAGGAGAAGAGACGUCUGUGGCAAGAAGACGUGCAUGUGUCUGUAUAGAACAGUGGCCAUGAGGGUUGGUUCAAGCCCCAGCCUGAGCUCUUCUGGCCAUGGGUCUUUGUCUAAGUCAUCUUAACCUCUCUGUUCCUCGGGUCCUCGCUGGGGAUAACAAGGCCUGGGUUGUGGUGAACGUAUUACCGCAUGGACACACCAGGCAAAUUCUAGCUACUUUGGAGACACACAUAUACGAUACCUUAGAAGCUGUGGUCACCUCUGUAAAUGGAGGGUGGGGAAUGGGAUUGGGUUCAAGGUUCAAGUGCACUUGAAAGAUUUUAUUUCUUUAAAAAAAAAAAGAAAGAUAAAUGGAAGAUGGCGGAGGAGAAGCACUGGAUCUCACCUUCUCCCAUAAAAACAACAAACUUAAAACCAACUGCUGAACAACCUUCAACCAAAUACACUGCAGACUAUCAAAAAAGAUAUCCUGCUCCAGAAGACAAAGAGGAGGCCACUUGAAGAUGGUAGGAGGGGCGAUUAGGUGGUAUAAGCAAGCCCAUACCUGCGGGGUGGGCAUCCCACAGACAGGAAAGUAACUGUGUCACAGAGAGAGAUAGUAUGCCAGAGCAUCCUUUGAGACAGUGUAAGAAUUUUGUAAUCAUCACAGUGGUGGUUAUAUGAAUCUGGACCUGUGAUGAAACUGCACAGAACCUCUCGUGCCACACAUGCACAACACAAAUGAGUACAGAUACAAACUGGUGAAAUCAGAGGAAAGUCUGUUAAGAAUAUCGUGUCAAUCCUGCUGUGUAGCACUGGGAGCUAUGUCUGGUCACUUAUGAUGGAGCAUGAUAAUGUGAGAAAAAAGAAUGUAUACUUGUAUGUGUAACUGGGUCGCCAUGCUGUGCAGUAGAAAAUUGACGGAACACUGUAAACUAGCUAUAAUGAAAAAUAUAAAAGUCAUUAUAUAAAAAAAGAACUAUGAAAAAAAUAAUAAUAUCAUGUCAAUAUUUUGGGGUUCUGUUUUCAUUUAUGGUUUUGAUGUUGCAUUAUAGUGAUGUAAGCUGUUACUGUUGGGGGGAGCUAGAUAGAGGGCACCCAGGAAGUUCAGCCUGAAGAAUGCAUAUUAGGAAGCACUCCUGGGACCACAGCUGUGGAAGCCAGGGAAGGAAGAAAGACUAGGGGGGGAGUUGGGGUCUGACACCAUCGAGAGGAAACCUCAGCUGACCCCAGGGAGCUCCGGAGGGAAACGGCCCGUGAGAGCCGUCAUCUCGGGCACUGAGCGCUGGCCUUCUGUGCUGCCCCCGCUAGUCCUGGGUGUGUAGCAGGGAGGGUGGGGCUUACUCUGUGAGAGUCCGAUCUUGGAGGGGUGCAGGUAGGGGCCACUGUGAUGCACCACCCGGGUCCCCCAUCCCUGGGAGAACUUGCCAUCCCAGCUUCCUAAUACCUGCCCUUCAUGCUGCACUUCCUCCCAGUCUGUUCCCAAGGCACCUGCAGGAGGAGGGGCCCCAGCACCCCAGAGUGGAGGCCCAAGGGUUCCCUGAGAGGAUGUGAAGAGGCCAGGACUCCCAGCCCACCACCCCCACCCUACCACCCCACCCUCCUCCAACCCAACCCCACACCCCACCAGUGCCCUCCUGGGCAGGAAUUCUGUGGACUGGGAAAGCCCGUGGUGAGAAACUGGGAAUCUGCAGCCCUGGGAGACAGCAGCCCAGGUAGGGAGUCGGCCCAGGCCAGGCCCACAGCUUGUCUCUUGCUUUUAGCCCAGGUGCCUCUGUGACAAAAUCAAUUACGUAAAACGGUCUCACUUCCCACCUGCUCUGUACUACAGAAUGUUAUCCAUGGGAUGAAUCUAGUUUUCUCUCUCUCUCUCUCUUUUUUUUUUUUUUUUGCUAUUUCUUGGGCCGCUCCCGCAGCAUAUGGAGGUUCCCAAGCUAGGGAUCAAAUCGGAGCUGUAGCCGCCGGCCUACGCCAGAGCCACAGCAAUGCAGGAUCCGAGCCGUGUCUGCAACCUACACCACAGCUCAUGGCAACGCAGGAUCGUUAACCCACUAAGCAAGGGCAGGGAUCGAACCCACAACCUCAUGGUUCCUAGUCGGAUUCGUUAACCACUGCACCAUGAAGGGAACUCCUAGUUUUCUCUUUCCAUGUCCCUAACUCCUUUCUCCAAAAGGGAGAACCCUGGCGCUCAUCAUGCCCCUGUUUGAAACCAGUCGUCGUUUGCAGCCUGAGCCGCCUGCCUCCACACUUCCUGACAAGAGCACCCACCUCACCCUCAGCCUCCCUCUGUGGCUGCCCUCUACCCCGCUGGGGUAAUUUGUUCCCAGCUUGAGGGAGCACUUAAUGACUGUUUAUUGGAUGAAUGAAUAAAUAAAUGAAUGAAUAAAUGUUAGUUAUCCUCAACCCCAGCAUAGUGCCCGUGGCAGUUUAUAAUACUUCUGUUAUUAUUAAAUGAACAAAUAGAGUGUGAAGAACAGGAGACCCCAGGAACUCGUAAUUUACCACGAAUCAAGUAUGAAGUUUAUCUUACAUGCAUGUGCCAACGGUUUUUCCUGAACCAUUUGAAAGUGUCAGCAAGAUUAGGAAUGGCAUGUCUAUUCUACUAAUAUUCAAAAAUUAAUAAAUUCGCUGCCCCAGAGUUGACUUUAGUGAUGAUAUAAAACUAGGAGGAAAAGACUCUUGUGGGGUCCUAGAGGUACGAGAAGAAGGUCAAGGUCAAAAGUGGACCUCCUGGCUCUGCCGCUCCGAAGGUGCUCUCCUAGGGCGGGUGGCCAUAGUUAUAACAAUGCCAUGGUAACCAAGGCAAAGGAAGUGAGGGGAGGAGGUGAGGGGAGAUGAGGGAGGUGAGGGAGAUGAGGUGAGAUGAGGGAGGGGAGGGGGGAGGGGAGGGGGGAGGGGAGGGGGGGAGGUAUGAAGUGAGGUGAAGUAAAGAAAGAAGGUGAGGUGAGAUAGGUAAGGGAGGUGAGGUGAGGGGAAGUGAGGGAGGUGAGGCAGGUAUGAGGAGGACACAAGGAUGGAGCCCCCACCACGAUCCAUCCUCAGAGCAGGGGCAUGCCUGGGGACACUUCCCCACAGGAACCAGGGCAUCGGCCCCCUUUAUCACCUCAACAGGGUUCCAUUUUCAAGACCUGAAGGAGGCACAUACUGUAAAUAUUCUUAGAUUUACUCUCCAUCCUACAGUUUCCACUGAAUAUCAUAUACCUUUUAUUCUUACAUAUUUUUUUCACCUAAAAUGUCAAGUAGCUCUUUUCUAGAAGUGCUGAACAGAGAUAAAGGGGAUUAAAUGUUGACUUUAUCCCAUUUAAAGGUAACCUGCAGCUAAUGGGAGUAAAGAGACCCACUUGGCAGCCACACCCCAUCCCCCUUCUCCCUCCAGGCUUCUGCCCUCUGCCCCCCAAUCCCCACCUUCUCAAAGGCACCCAGGGGGCUCCAGACUCUGGGAAGAUUCAUGUGUCCACAGGGGUCCUUGCCAAGGCCUGCCUUCCAGAAAUUCGGUUCCCACAUUCGCCUGGUGUGUAGCAAAUUGUCAGUUAAAAGGCUUUGCUUGUCUGGAAAAAUAAAGAAAAUGAAAGCCCUGAAGGCUUGAUCUGCAAUAUUAGCUGAAGCUGCCUUGUGGCAACAUCGAAGAAAGCCUCUGUGCUUCCCAGGCCACAGGCUUUUUGGUGCCACCUGAGAGGAUACCGGGCUCUGAACAGGCCAGCAGGGGUCAGUUAAAAGCAGAGAGAGUGGAUGAGUUGGCUUCUGAUGCAGAGCAGCCCCAACCCUUACAUAAUCAAAGGUAAACCUCAUCCUGGAGGCGCCAGUCAGGGCUGGGGAGGGAUGGGGCCUCUGGGGAUCUUUGUUACUUGGGCUUAGGCUUCUGUAGGUUUUAUAGGUCAAAAAUAAUCAAAUAUCAAUUAUUUUGUUUGUUUGUUUGUUUACAGGUCAGAAAUUGUCAAAUAUCAAUUUUUUUCCCCCUGUCUUUUUAGGGCUGCACCCAAAGCACCUGGAGGUUCCCAGGCUAGGAGUCGAAUCGGAGCUGUAGCCUCCAGCCCAUGCCACAGCCACAGCAACAGGGAAUCCGAGCGGUGUCUGAGACCUACACAGCUCAAGGCAAUGCCAAAUCCUUAACCCACUGAGCAAGGCCAGGGAUUGAACCCGCGUCCUCUUGGAUACUAGCUGGGGUAGUUAACUGCUGAGCCACGACAGAAACUCCAAAUACCAAUUAUUUCAUUUUUUAGGCCCUAAUGAAUACUUUGUUUUAACUCCUAGGAACCCUGUGAGAUAGCCAUGAUCCCUAUUUUAUGGAAAACAGAGGUUCAGAGAAGGUAAGUAAUUUGCCCAAAGUCACACAGGAAGUGGCAGAAUCAGAAUUUGAAUAUGGAGAUUCAGAUGCUUAAUCUAGGCCCUUUCUGCUGUGCCCAUUUUCUCUCCUCCUGUCUUAAAUCCACUCUGUACCCUGUUCCCCCAUCUAGCCAUGCUUAUUCUUACCUGCUUCCUCUGCUCAGAUGACACCUUCCUCCUGAACUCCUGUGCUCGUGCUCUCGUUUAUUUAAGAGGUAUAUAUUGACAAACUAUGUGUCAGGUUUGUGUUAAAGCUGAAAAUAAUUUUGGAGUUCCCUGGUGGCUCAGUUCACCAGAUCCGUGACUCGCUGAGCAAGGCCAGCGAUCGAACCCAUAACCUCAUGGUUCCUAGCUGGAUUGGUUUCUACUGCACCAUGACGGGAACUCCCCUUUUGCUGCACAUUUAAAGAAAAUUUCAUGAAGUCCAAUUUGUCCAUUCUUUUCUUUUGUUGCCUGUGCCUUUGAUGUAAUAGCCAAGAAAUCAUUGCCAAAUCCAAUGUCAUGACACUUUUGACUCAUGUUUUCUUCUUAGUUAUAUAGUUUUAGGUUUUACACUUAGGUUUUUGAUCCAUUUUGAGUUAAUUUUUGUAUAUGGCAUUAGGUAAGGGCCUAACUUCAUUCUUUUUUUUACAUGUGGAUGUCCAGUUUCCCUGAUAUAAUUUGUUGAAAGGACUGUUCUUUCCCCAUUGAAUAAUCUUAGCAUCCUGGUCCAAAAUUACUUGACCAUAUACACAAGGGUUUAUUUCUGGCUCUCUUUGGUUCUUUUUAUCUACAUGUCUGUCUUUGUGCCAGUACCAAACUGUUUUGAUUACUGUAACUUUGUUGUAAAUUUUGAAAUCAGGAAGUGGGUAUCCUCCAGCUUUGUUAUUCUUUUUCAAAAUUGUUUUGGCUCUUCAGAGUUCCUUGAGACUCCAUAUGAAUUUUAGAAUAGGUUUUUCUAUUUCUGCAAAGAAAAUAGCAUUGGUGUAAGGAUAACCUGACCCCCUUGCUGUACAGUGGGAAAAUAAAAAAAAUAAAAAAAAAAAA
rnacentral:lncRNA from 1 species